UAGUCGAGCCUGGAUAUUUUUAGCCGGGCCUCGGGUGCGAGCCCGCCGCGUGAGGGGGCACCCUGACCCCGCCAGGAGUGCGGAGGGGGCGGGGGCGGAGUCGCCAUCUUGGACCCGGCUCGACCCCGUCUAGUGACCGGCGGCGCUGGGCCAGGCUCUGCGCAGGGGGUCGGGAAGCACAAAGAAGUUAAGUAACUUAACCAGGUGCACACCAAGAUUCGAAGCCAGGUAGUCUUACUUCAGAGCCUCUGUGCUUAGCUGUGUCCCAGUGCCAGCCUCAUGCUCAUUCGUUUGUUCAGGACAGAUGAGGAAACAGAACCUGUUGCACAGCUGAAUGACAUGAGGAUGAGAAGUAGCAGCCUAGCAACCCAGGAAGAAGGGUCCCCAGGCCUUGGCGAUGUAACUGCGAUUAGGCUCCCAGACCCUGGUGGAGAAAAGCCUGCAGGGAGGCAUAUGAUCAAGUGUUUGAAAAUCGGUCUACUGGUGAAAGUUUAUCAAGACUACACAGAGCCUUCCACUAGAGUUGGUGGAGAGUUAUUCUUCUCUUUCUGCCGUCUUCACCUAUACUCCCAAGGAAGACAUGAAGACAAUUUUAUGACCUCUGCUGUGCAUUGAAUUAUGUCCUCCAGGCAAAACAUGUUGAAAUUCUGACUCCAGAUCCCUGUGAAUGUGACCUUAUUUGGAAAUAAGCUCUUUGCAGAUGUAAUCAAUUUAAAAUGAGGUCAUAUGGCAUUAGGAUGGGCUCUACUCCAAUGACUGGUGUCCUUAUAAGAAGAGGGAAAUUUGGACAUAUGUAGAAGAAUGCUAUGUGAUGAUGGAGGUGGAUAUUGGGGUGAUACAUCUGUGUGCUGUGGAAUGACAAGGAGUGCCAGCAACCACCGAACACUAAGAAAAAGCAAGCCAAGAAUCUUCCCAAGAGCCUUCAGAGAGAGCAUGGCCCUGCUGACAUCUUGAUUUUGGACUUCUAACCUCCAGAACUGUGAGAGAAUAAAUUUUGUUUUAAGCCAUCCAAGUUUGUAGUGAUUUGUUAUGGCAGCCCUAGGCAACUAAUACACCUUCUAAAUAAACAGAACUUGACCAGUAGAGAUUUCUUAUGUGUCUGUGCGCUCCUAGGAAGUCUAGGAAUGGACUUAUUACUAAAACAGAACUUCGCAUGUGUUAUGGACCAAAUGUCUGUGUCUCCCUAAAAUUCGUAUGUUGAAAUCAUAAUCUCCAAUGUGAUGGCAUUAAGAGGUAGGGCCUUUGGGAGGUAAUUAAGUCAUGAGGGUGGAGCUUCAUGAAUGGGAUUAGUGCCCCUAUUAGUGCCACUCCUCCCACCAUGUGAGUCACAUGAAAAAAUGGCUACUUAUGAACCAGGACGAGGGCCUGACCGUAUAUCAAAUUGACCAGCACUUUGAUCUUGGACUUCCCUGUCUCCAGAGCUGUGAGAAAUAAAUGUUUUUUGUUUUAGCUACCCAUCUAUGGUAUUUUUGUUAUA